AUGACUGCUUAUGGUUCGCAUUUUUCUUUUUUUACACGCCUUCUGAUAAACCAAUGUAAGCUUUGUUGGGCGUGUUGAGAAAGAUGUUAUUUAUUUUUAAAAUUAUAUUUGUUGCUCUACAUUAUUUAUUCAGCGAACAGAUUUAUUUUUGUUUGCAAUUACUAGCAGCUGUAGCUAACUUUUGUGGCAAUUCGAUUGAAUAGCUUAUGCAAUGGGUUUGAAGGUGGGAAAAGGCUUAUCUAUUAAUUGCAAAAAGAUUUGGCCAACAUUGAUGGUCUGUUAAAAGGCAUUGCUUGAUAGAAUACGACGACAACAGUUUAUUCAUUAAAUGUUUUUAUGAAAGUCAAUCAUCAUUUACCGAUGACAUAAAAUCAACUGUCGAUAAACGAGGUCGGUGGUGUAUUCAUAUUUACAAAGAUAAGAUCGAAAGGUUGAAGAUUCUAUUAAGUUAUAGAGAAUUGAAAAAAAAAAAGAUUUUGAAGAAAACUUUCUUUCAUGGAUUAAUCUUUGUGAAGUAUUAUGGCUUAAUCUUAAUAAUAAAAUUGAUUUUAUUAAAGAUAUUUAUAAAUGGAUUUCGAAUUUUAUAAAUGGAUUCGUAAUUUGAAUAUCAAGAGUUUUUAUAUCACCUACCGUUGUGAAAAGUUUUGUAACCUUGAUGAGUUAAAGAACUUUAUUAAAUAUUAAAAUGUUUAUUACCUUAAACUUAUAAAACAAAAACAGUAAU